UACGUAGGGCGCAAGCGUUAUCCGGAAUUAUUGGGCGUAAAGAGCUCGUAGGCGGUUUGUUGCGUCGGCUGUGAAAACCUGAGGCUCAACCUCAGGCCUGCAGUCGAUACGAGCAGACUAGAGUGUUGCAGGGGAGACUGGAAUUCCUGGUGUAGCGGUGAAAUGCGCAGAUAUCAGGAGGAACACCGGUGGCGAAGGCGGGUCUCUGGGCAACAACUGACGCUGAGGAGCGAAAGCGUGGGGAGCGAACAGG
rnacentral:rRNA from 1 species